rnacentral:lncRNA from 1 species
AGUGAUUCAGUAAAAGAAAGAAAAAUUCAAAGUUGAUUAUAAGUUAUUGGGAGCGAUAAUGCCAAAAGCACAUUUCGUUGCAGUGCAUGGUGUAGGCCAUGGAGCUUGGGUUUAUUACAAGCUGAAGCCGCGUAUCGAGGCAGCUGGCCACCGGUUCACGGCGCUCAACUUGGCUGCCGCUGGUGUCAAUGAAAAGAAACUGGAGGAGGUUCGUUCAUUGUCUGAAUACACAACGCCUCUGUUGGACUUUUUGGCCUCAGUUCCUGAGAAUGAGAAGGUGAUACUGAUCGGACAUAGUGGUGGCGGAAUGAGCGCCGCCGUGGGCAUGGAGAAGUACCCGGGGAAGAUUGCGGUGGCUGUGUUUUUGAAUGCAAUUAUGCCGGACUCCAAAAACAGCCCCUCCUAUGUUUUGGAGCAG